UACGAAGGGGGCGAGCGUUGUUCGGAUUUACUGGGCGUAAAGGGCGCGCAGGCGGUCUUGAAAGUCAGGCGUGAAAGCCCCGGGCUUAACCUGGGAAUUGCGCUUGAUACUCUGAGACUGGAGUACGGGAGAGGAGAGUGGAAUUCCCAGUGUAGAGGUGAAAUUCGUAGAUAUUGGGAAGAACACCAGUGGCGAAGGCGGCUCUCUGGACCGUAACUGACGCUGAGGCGCGAAAGCGUGG
rnacentral:rRNA from 1 species